GCCCGGGUGGCUCAGUCGGUUGAGCAUCCGACUUCAGCUCAGGUCAUGAUCUCACAGUUCGUGAGUUCAAGCCCCACGUCGGGCU
rnacentral:tRNA from 1 species